UGAGCUUGAUCCUGGCUCAGGACGAACGCUGGCGGCGUGCCUAAUACAUGCAAGUCGAGCGGACUGAUGGGAGCUUGCUCCCUGAUGUUAGCGGCGGACGGGUGAGUAACACGUGGGCAACCUGCCUGUAAGACUGGGAUAACUCCGGGAAACCGGGGCUAAUACCGGAUAACCCGUUCCACCUCAUGGUGGAGCGGUAAAAGAUGGCCUCUGGCUAUCACUUACAGAUGGGCCCGCGGCGCAUUAGCUAGUUGGUAAGGUAACGGCUUACCAAGGCGACGAUGCGUAGCCGACCUGAGAGGGUGAUCGGCCACACUGGGACUGAGACACGGCCCAGACUCCUACGGGAGGCAGCAGUAGGGAAUCUUCCGCAAUGGACGAAAGUCUGACGGAGCAACGCCGCGUGAGUGAUGAAGGUUUUCGGAUCGUAAAGCUCUGUUGUUAGGGAAGAACAAGUGCCGUUUGAAUAAGGCGGCACCUUGACGGUACCUAACCAGAAAGCCACGGCUAACUACGUGCCAGCAGCCGCUGUAU
rnacentral:rRNA from 1 species